rnacentral:rRNA from 1 species
UGGGGAAUAUUGCACAAUGGGCGCAAGCCUGAUGCAGCCAUGCCGCGUGUGUGAAGAAGGCCUUCGGGUUGUAAAGCACUUUCAGCGAGGAGGAAGGUGGUGAACUUAAUACGUUCAUCAAUUGACGUUACUCGCAGAAGAAGCACCGGCUAACUCCGUGCCAGCAGCCGCGGUAAUACGGAGGGUGCAAGCGUUAAUCGGAAUUACUGGGCGUAAAGCGCACGCAGGCGGUUUGUUAAGUCAGAUGUGAAAUCCCCGGGCUCAACCUGGGAACUGCAUUUGAAACUGGCAAGCUAGAGUCUCGUAGAGGGGGGCUAGAAUUCCAGGUGUAGCGGUGAAAUGCGUAGAGAUCUGGAGGAAUACCGGUGGCGAAGGCGGCCCCCCUGGANGAAGACUGACGCUCAGGUGCGAAAGCGUGGGGGCAGCAAACAGAUUAGNUACCCCCGGUAGUCCACGCUGUAAACGAUGUCGAUUUUGGAGGUUGUGCCCC